UCGUUGUCCCUUUCCUCCGUUGCUUCCCUUUUGGGUUGCAACGGGGACCUCGAAGCAGUCCCCGUGUCCCAUGUAGUCCUCAGCAUUUUGUUGUGGCUGCUGUGGUCCACGAGUGCUUGCUCGUUCUCUCGGAUGCGGAACACUACGUGAGAGUGGGAGUCCGCGACCCCCGAUCGCUCGAAAUUGUCCCUUUGACACGGAAGACGUCCGCAACUGUGCCAACCUUUGCCCCCGGGCUUUUAGGCGUGCGCACAGCUUGCGGUGU
rnacentral:misc_RNA from 1 species